rnacentral:rRNA from 1 species
UACGUAGGCAGCGAGCGUUGUUCGGAGUUACUGGGCGUAAAGGGUGUGUAGGCGGUUGUUUAAGUUUGGUGUGAAAUCUCCCGGCUCAACCGGGAGGGUGCGCCGAAUACUGAAUGACUUGGAGUGCGGGAGAGGAGAGUGGAAUUCCUGGUGUAGCGGUGAAAUGCGCAGAUAUCGGGAGGAACACCUAUGGCGAAGGCAGCUCGCUGGGACGUUACUGACGCUGAGACGCGAAAGCGUGGGGAGCAAACAGG